rnacentral:rRNA from 1 species
AACGAACGCUGGCGGCAGGCCUAACACAUGCAAGUCGAACGCUCCGCAAGGGGAGUGGCGCACGGGUGAGUAACACGUGGGAACCUACCUUCUGGUACGGAACAACCAAGGGAAACUUUGGCUAAGACCGUAUACGACCUCCGGGUGAAAGAUUGAUCGCCGGAAGAGGGGCCCGCGUCCGAUUAGGUAGUUGGUGAGGUAACGGCUCACCAAGCCUUCGAUCGGUAGCUGGUCUGAGAGGAUGACCAGCCACACUGGGACUGAGACACGGCCCAGACUCCUACGGGAGGCAGCAGUGGGGAAUAUUGGACAAUGGGCGCAAGCCUGAUCCAGCCAUGCCGCGUGAGUGAUGACGGCCU